AUGAUCAUACUACAUAGGAUCAAUUCUAUAGUGUGAUUGACGAGUUUAAGUCCAAAACUCGGAAUGAAUUCAAACCACGAUGACGAGGUUGAGUGUCGUCCUCUGAGCGGGAAGCGGCUCUUGAGUAUUGAGUUACUCCUGAGCAUUUGAAGACCCGUUCCCUCAUGGGCUCGCCCUUGAGUGGAGGAGGACGUCACAGGCUGAGUGGU